rnacentral:rRNA from 1 species
AGUGAACGCUGGCGGUAGGCCUAACACAUGCAAGUCGAACGGCAGCACAGUAAGAGCUUGCUCUUACGGGUGGCGAGUGGCGGACGGGUGAGGAAUACAUCGGAAUCUACUUUUUCGUGGGGGAUAACGUAGGGAAACUUACGCUAAUACCGCAUACGACAUACGGGUGAAAGCAGGGGAUCUUCGGACCUUGCGCGAUUGAAUGAGCCGAUGUCGGAUUAGCUAGUUGGCGGGGUAAAGGCCCACCAAGGCGACAAUCCGUAGCUGGUCUGUGAGGAUGAUCAGCCACACUGUAACUGAGACACGGUCCAGACUCCUACGGGAGGCAGCAGUGGGGAAUAUUGGACAAUGGGCGCAAGCCUGAUCCAGCCAUACCGCGUGGGUGAAGAAGGCCUUCGGGUUGUAAAGCCCUUUUGUUGGGAAAGAAAAGCAGCAGGUUAAUACCCCGCUGUUCUGACGGUACCCAAAGAAUAAGCACCGGCUAACUUCGUG